rnacentral:rRNA from 1 species
GAUGCCCGCUUUCUUCUUUCCUAAUACAUGCAAGUCGAGCGAACAGAUGAGGAGCUUGCUCCUCUGACGUUAGCGGCGGACGGGUGAGUAACACGUGGAUAACCUACCUAUAAGACUGGGAUAACUUCGGGAAACCGGAGCUAAUACCGGAUAAUAUAUUGAACCGCAUGGUUCAAUAGUGAAAGACGGUUUUGCUGUCACUUAUAGAUGGAUCCGCGCCGCAUUAGCUAGUUGGUAAGGUAACGGCUUACCAAGGCAACGAUGCGUAGCCGACCUGAGAGGGUGAUCGGCCACACUGGAACUGAGACACGGUCCAGACUCCUACGGGAGGCAGCAGUAGGGAAUCUUCCGCAAUGGGCGAAAGCCUGACGGAGCAACGCCGCGUGAGUGAUGAAGGUCUUCGGAUCGUAAAACUCUGUUAUUAGGGAAGAACAAAUGUGUAAGUAACUAUGCACGUCUUGACGGUACCUAAUCAGAAAGCCACGGCUAACUACGUG